UGAAAAUGAAUUGAUAGGAAUGAAAUCAACUUUGGGAGAUAAAGAAUUUGGGAGAUAAAUAAAAUGACAAUGGACAAUGGUAAUAAAUUUUUUUUUGAGGAGAAUAAAUUUUUUCUUGGAAAUUAGUUUGAUGUUAAUGAAAUAUGUGAAAAUUGAGGGAAAAAAUGGAGAUAAAAGAGCAGUUUUGGUUUCCAAUGCAUGUGUCAUGCUAAAAAAAUGAAGUUAUUGGGAUUUAAACUCAAGACCUUAUAUACAAAGCACCAAUCUCUUAACCACUGCUCCAAUUUAAUUUUCUGGUAACGUAAUGAAACUAAUUAACCUAUAUCCAAAAUUUAGGGGCCCUGUUCCGUCGACCACCUCGCGCUGGCUCAGAACCGCCACUGAUAAGUGUCACAAAGAAAAAUGCAAAAGUUGUCAAUGAUGAUGAUAUAUGUUGGGCUUUGUUCGAUGCAAUGAUACACGGGUACACCGCUUGACUGCCGUUUCCCGUACCCGAAACUUAUCGGGGACGGGUACGGUACGGGGACGGCUAGGAUACGUCCCCAAUCCGUCCCUAUCAAAAGUGGUACGAGACGUCAUUUAGGGGACGGCUAAGGUCAUGAUCGGAAACAUUUCAUGUACUAGUAAUCCCAAUUUCUGCCGUACCCUAUGAAGCCCAGCCUAAUUUUCAAAAAAAAAAAAAACCCAAAUCAAACUUACAUGAAAGUCGAUUUCCCCCAAUUCUCACAAACCCUAAAAUUUCGAACUCUCAUCUUCUUAUUCCAACUAUGCGAUUUGAUUGAAGGCAGCGACCGGAGACCCACCUACGAGGCUGCGACAGUCGACACUGGCGCCAGUAGGUGAUUUGGUUCAAGGCGGCACCGGAGACCCACCUUCUUCUUCUAUUAUAACUCCUCAGACGAGGUCUUCAAGCAAUGGUUAUAAGUGAUGAUUGGUCUUCUUACAAAGAAGAUGACCAGGGGAAGGAAGCCAAGUUGAAGGAAGUAAUUUUGUUGGAUAUGUGGUGGGAUUCAAUAGAUUAUGUCAUUGAUUUCACAAAUCCUAUCUAUGACAUGAUUAUAUAUUGUGACACCGAUAAACCAUGUCUCCACUUAGUAUAUGAGAUGUGGGAUUCUAUGAUUGAGAAGGUGAAGAUUGCAAUUUUCAAGUAUGAGGAAUUACCAUUUACGGGCACUAGUAAGUUUUUUGAUGUGGUAUAUAAAAUCUUAAUUGCUCGGUGAACAAAGAGCAACACUCCUCUUCACUGUCUAUCCCACUCUUUGAAUCCAAGAUUUUACAGCGAUGAAUGGCUAGUUAAGGACUCUUCUAGAGUUGCUCCUCAUACGGAUGGUAAAAUAUCUCGUGAAAGAAUGAGGUCGGUGCUUUCGUAGGUUAUUUCCUCUUGAUGAUCUUAGCAAAGCAAUGGAUGAAUACACACUUUGUUCUAUGAAAAGUGGGCCUUUUGAGGAUCUAACCAUCAUGUCAAAGAUGGCCACUAUGGAACCUAAGAGUUGGUGGGAAAAUUUUGGUGCAGAAACUUCUCUCCUUCAAACUUUAGCAUUUAAGUUACUUAGGCAGCCCACUUCCUCUUCUUGUUGUGAGCGGAAUUGGCGUAGCCAUGUCGCAAGCUCGACCACAUAGCCAGCAGGACAGCAGCUAGAAUGUGCAAUUUUUGCACCGUCCAUCCACCACCAGAUAUGUUACCUUUAAACGCUACAAAAUCACCACCAAAUCUCCACACAAAAUAGCACUAAGUAGCCACCAAAUAGCACCCAAAUCGCCACCACCGCAUCGCCCCAAGUAGCCACCUAAUCGCCAACAGCCCACCACAAAAUUGCACCAUCAAAUUGCACCAAAUCCCCACUAAAUAUCCACCAAAUUGCACCCAAAUUUCUCCACCAAAAUGCACCACCAAAUUGCACCUCCAAUCGAACAUAAAAGAUUGAACUCCACCAGAUAGAAGCCUUAGAUUCAAUUGAAAAUCGCACUGCCAAUUGCAAAUUGCAAUGAAGAUGGCAUUUUUAAGUUGGAAGAAAGAAGAAAGAGGAGAGAAAAAUAUUCAACAACUUUUUUAAUUUUCAAAGAGGAGCAAAGUGGAAAAGGCGUAAAAAUGGAGAAAGGAGGAAUGUCGCAUAAAACUAUUGGGUGCAAACUGCCCCAUCCAAUAGUUUGUGGAUGGCUUGAUACUUGUCAUUUUUCCUUUUUAUUUUUAUUUUUUUAAUUUUUAUUUUCUAAUCUAGCUUGUUUAUGGUUGUUUAAUUUAAAAAAAAAUAAUAAUAAGAAAAGAAGUAUGGAGUUAAAUUUCCUUACCUAAUUUGUAAUGAAGAGAUUUGUUAAUUACCUUA